CUCCGUGGCCGCCCAGGCGCCACAGCGGGGAGCCGCGGUCGACCCCUCCGGGAUGGGGGCCAGGGCAGCCUCCGCGGCUAUCCCGGGAGUCCUGCUCCGACACCACCUCCACAGGGGAAGCCGCUCGGAGAGACGCAGGGACCCAGGCAAGGGAUGCGGGCAAACGCGCCAAGGGUUCAGCAGAGGGGCGUGACCGCCAGUUGGCCGGGCUGAGCGAGGCGCCAGAGGGAAGCCUGCAAGGUACGUCUGCGAGAGCCGGGUGCGGGCGCGGCAGGGGAAAAGGGGGGCGCUGACUCUCUUACCGCCAGGUCCGGAUUGCGGCUGUCCCUGUGUGACACGGCUCGGAUGACCCCCGCUCGCCAGCUUCGCCAGCCGCGUCCGCUCUCCCAGCGCUCCGAACGUGCCUCGUCGCCGACCGCCACACACAGGAACCGCUUACCCACCAGCUCUGCCCGCGUCUCUACCGCCAUAGCUGUCGCUGCCGAAGCGGCCGCUGCCUCCUCCAGUGCGAGGGAACCGAUGAAACCUCACUCCUACCGGCCGCUCAUGCUGAGGAGAGCGGACCGGGACACAGCAGCGGACCCGAAAGAGCGCAGACUCGGGACGAACCGGCCGCUCUGCCCCGGACACAGCGACCUCGGGCCCUCCCCGCAAACACUCCUUUGGACUCCCAGAUUCGCAGCCUUGUGCUGCAGCGCCACACAAGAAAACUGAAACAAAACCCAACGCGGCCGUCGAAGACCCCGAGGCAGCCCAGCCGCCGCCACCGCGCCGCGGCCAGUACUGCUCCGUCUCCCUCCCCGGGCAGCGGCGGCGCGCAGCGCGUCUCCUUCCGCCGGCGCGGGCGGGGCAGCAGCCGCGGGAGGGUCGGCGGAACCACCGCAGACGGAAAGUAGUGCCCGGCCCUGCGGAGGCGGCAGCGGCCACUGGGUCCGUCCAGAUCCAGAGGCGGCGGCGGCGGCGGCAGCGGGAGACGAAAAAAUGAAGAGGGCCGCGGGAAAGUAGGCGACAGCUAUUCAAAGCUUUUGGGGGUCUACCUUUGUAUUCGUUGCUCCCUCAGAGGUGGAGGUGAGGGGAAAGUGAAGUGUAGUGGUUCCACUCUGAUCACAAAAUAAACUCCUGGGUUGACGCCUCACCCGCGGUUUGAUGUUCAGAGCACACAGCGCCCGCCGCCUGAGUUAGCCUGAAUUAGCAGUCCCGCAGUAACAGCAGCAGAGCAGGACAACACUUCUACUGAAAACUAAGCCCCAAAGUCACAGCAGAACCAACCGUUCAUGACUUCAAGGGAAAACGAGGGGGAAAAUGUGAGGAAACUGAAGCUAAGAAAGAAUAACAUGCCUAAGUUAUGAACAUGACUUCACAGUGAUAGGAAGUGACAGAACCAGGACUGGAUUGCAAGCUUCCAAAGGCAGUGUUUAUAUUCACUAGCUGGGCAUGGUGGCUCACUCCUGUAAUCCCAGCACCUUGGGAUGGAUGGAUGGAUGGAUGGAUGGAUGGAUGGAUGGAUGGAUGGAUGGAUAGAUAGAUAGAUAGAUAGAUAGAUAGAUAGAUAAGAUAGAUAGAUAAGACAGACAGAUAAAAAUAAAAAAAUUCACAACACCAGAAUGAUCCUAAGAACCACCAUUUCAAAAACUCAUAAUGGACUUCGUAUUUUUUGAGAUCAUACUGCUUUCCUCAUUGAAUAAUUUUCAGUAUGUAACUUCUAGUGUAUGUAACUUUUCCAAAUAUAUCCCUUUUCACGCUAUUUAUACCCUCCCACUUCAGAGCAAGCACAGCACUUAUUUGAACUUCAAUAGUGGCCUUUGUGAUAGGAUAAUUUGUAGCUGAACUUGAGAUUUUGUUAAAAAAAUGGAGUUGAAAACAUAAGAUCUUGAUGAUCAAACCAAUAAAAG
rnacentral:lncRNA from 1 species